rnacentral:rRNA from 1 species
AGCGAACGCUGGCGGCAGGCCUAACACAUGCAAGUCGAACGAAGCCUUCGGGCUUAGUGGCGGACGGGUGAGUAACACGUGGGAACGUACCUUUUGGUUCGGAAUAACGCAGAGAAAUUUGCGCUAAUACCGAAUGAGCCCUUCGGGGGAAAGAUUUAUCGCCGAAAGAUCGGCCCGCCUUGGAUUAGGUAGUUGGUGUGGUAAAGGCGCACCAAGCCUACGAUCCAUAGCUGGUCGGAGAGGAUGAUCAGCCACACUGGGACUGAGACACGGCCCAGACUCCUACGGGAGGCAGCAGUGGGGAAUCUUGCGCAAUGGGCGAAAGCCUGACGCAGCCAUGCCGCGUGAAUGAUGCAGGUCUUAGGAUUGUAAAAUUCUUUUACCAGGGACGAUAAUGACGGUACCUGGAGAAAAAGCCCCGGCUAACUUCGUGCCAGCCGCCGCUGUAAAAC